rnacentral:rRNA from 1 species
GUUUUCCAAUUGUACUAAGCCAUGCGAGUCAUUGUAGUAAUACAAGGCAGACGGCUCAGUAACGCGUAGUCAAUCUACCCUAUGGACGAGGAUAACCUCGGGAAACUGAGAAUAAUACUCGAUAGAACACUAUGCCUGGAAUGGUUUGUGUUUGAAAUGAUUUAUCGCCGUAGGAUGGGACUGCGGCCUAUCAGUUUGUUGGUGAGGUAAUGGCCCACCAAGACUAUUACAGGUACGGGCUCUGAGAGGAGUGGCCCGGAGAUGGGUACUGAGACACGGACCCAGGCCCUAUGGGGCGCAGCAGGCGAGAAAACUUUGCAAUGUGCGAAAGCACGACAAGGUUAAUCCGAGUGGUUUCUGCUAAAGGAACCUUUUGUCGGUCCUAGAAACACCGAUGAAUAAGGGGUGGGCAAGUUCUGGUGUCAGCCGCCGCGGUAAAACCAGCACCUCAAGUGGUCAGGAUGAUUAUUGGGCCUAAAGCAUCCGUAGCCGGCUCUGUAAGUUUUCGGUUAAAUCUGUACGCUUAACGUACAGGCUGCCGGGAAUACUGCAUAGCUAGGGAGUGGGAGAGGUAGACGGUACUCGGUAGGAAGGGGUAAAAUCCUUUGAUCUAUUGAUGACCACCUGUGGCGAAGGCGGUCUACCAGAACACGCCCGACGGUGAGGGAUGAAAGCUGGGGGAGCAAACCGGAUUAGAUACCCGGGUAGUCCCAGCUGUAAACUAUGCAAACUCAGUGAUGCAUUGGCUUGUGGCCAAUGCAGUGCUGCAGGGAAGCCGUUAAGUUUGCCGCCUGGGAAGUACGUACGCAAGUAUGAAACUUAAAGGAAUUGGCGGGGGAGCACCACAAGGGUGAAGCCUGCGGUUCAAUUGGAGUCAACGCCCGGG